rnacentral:lncRNA from 1 species
UGAUUUUAUUGCCUAUUGGUCUCUUUUUAAUUUAAACAAACUUUUCUUGAUUUGAAACUCCUUGAUCGACUCAUGGCUUCUUGAAGAAAAAUUAUUCUAUGAGGAGUCUAUCCAUAUUUAAUGUUUCCUUAGUAGAUUUGUGUUGAUCCCAAGAUUGAUUUUGAUGAUUUCAAAAUAUUGAGUAUAAAUGAUAUUAAUCAUGUAUUUCAAAAUUGUAUGUAGGUCUUUUCAGAUGUUCAAAUUG